rnacentral:rRNA from 1 species
UACGUAGGGGGCAAGCGUUGUCCGGAUUUAUUGGGCGUAAAGAGCGUGUAGGCGGUUUGGUAGGUCCGCUGUGAAAACUCGAGGCUCAACCUCGAGACGCCGAUGGAAACCAUCUGACUAGAGUCCGGAAGAGGAGAGUGGAAUUCCUGGUGUAGCGGUGAAAUGCGCAGAUAUCAGGAAGAACACCCGUGGCUAAGGCGGCUCUCUAGUACGGUACUGACGCUGAGGAGCGAAAGCGUGGGGAGCGAACAGG